AGUGAACGCUGGCGGUAGGCCUAACACAUGCAAGUCGAACGGCAGCACAGUAAGAGCUUGCUCUUACGGGUGGCGAGUGGCGGACGGGUGAGGAAUACAUCGGAAUCUACUUUUUCGUGGGGGAUAACGUAGGGAAACUUACGCUAAUACCGCAUACGACCUACGGGUGAAAGCAGGGGAUCUUCGGACCUUGCUCGAUUUAAUGAGCCGAUGUCGGAUUAGCUAGUUGGCGGGGUAAAGGCCCACCAAGGCGACGAUCCGUAGCUGGUCUGAGAGGAUGAGCAGCCACAAUGGAACUGAGACACGGUCCAGACUCCUAAGGGAGGCAGCGGUGGGGAAUAUUGGACAAUGGGCGCAAGCCUGAUCCAGCCAUACCGCGUGGGUGAAGAAGGCCUUCGGGUUGUAAAGCCCUUUUGUUGGGAAAGAAAAGCAGCAGGUUAAUACCCCGCUGUUCUGACGGUACCCAAAGAAUAAGCACCGGCUAACUUCGUG
rnacentral:rRNA from 1 species